rnacentral:rRNA from 1 species
AACGAACGCUGGCGGCAGGCCUAACACAUGCAAGUCGAGCGCUCACUUCGGUGGGAGCGGCGGACGGGUUAGUAACGCGUGGGAAUAUGCCCGGUACUAAGGAAUAGCCUUUGGAAACGAAGAGUAAUACUUUAUACGCCCUUCGGGGGAAAGAUUUAUCGGUAUCGGAUUAGCCCGCGUAAGAUUAGAUAGUUGGUGGGGUAAUGGCCUACCAAGUCUACGAUCUUUAGCUGGUUUUAGAGGAUGAUCAGCAACACUGGGACUGAGACACGGCCCAGACUCCUACGGGAGGCAGCAGUGGGGAAUCUUAGACAAUGGGCGCAAGCCUGAUCUAGCCAUGCCGCGUGAGUGAAGAAGGCCUUAGGGUCGUAAAACUCUUUCGCCAGAGAUGAUAAUGACAGUAUCUGGUAAAGAAACCCCGGCUAACUCCGUGCCAGCAGCCGCGGUAAUACGGAGGGGGUUAGCGUUGUUCGGAAUUACUGGGCGUAAAGCGCACGUAGGCGGACUGGAAAGUUGGGGGUGAAAUCCCGGGGCUCAACCUCGGAACUGCCUCCAAAACUAUCAGUCUAGAGUUCGAGAGAGGUGAGUGGAAUUCCAAGUGUAGAGGUGAAAUUCGUAGAUAUUUGGAGGAACACCAGUGGCGAAGGCGGCUCACUGGCUCGAUACUGACGCUGAGGUGCGAAAGUGCGGGGAGCAAACAGGAUUAGAUACCCUGGUAGUCCACACCGUAAACGAUGAAUGCCAGUCGUCGGCAAGUAUACUUGUCGGUGACACACCUAACGGAUUAAGCAUUCCGCCUGGGGAGUACGGUCGCAAGAUUA